CAUUGUACUUGAAAGAUACAAUGAGCACAAGACAGGGUGAGCCGCAUGUGUCUCAGAAUGAUCUGUUAUACUACGUUGACGACCGACAUCUGCUGCCUCAAGAACCAGCCGUCAAAUACAAGGUUUUGAAGCUUAAACACAAGUCGCGGCGAAGUGGCGGAGAGCGGCUAAUCCAAGAGGAGAGUAAGGAUGGCGUGGCCAUCAUCAACCUCGGAGGUGGACCGUUUCCAGAAUUCCGGCUGCCACGCUCACGCAGGCAAUACAUGCACGACUUCGGAGAACUCGUCAGUGACGAGGAUGACCUACUUCCCCACCUGAAUGACUCUUCGCCUCACUUCCGCAAAACAGAAGCUCCGAGGAAUGAAGAGCUUAAUAGUAUCUAAGUCUUCAUGUAUCAAAGAAAAUUUAUUUAUUAAAUAUCCUACUGGCCUAUUUAA